rnacentral:rRNA from 1 species
GAUUGUAGGCUGCAACUCGCCUACAUGAAGUCGGAACCGCUAGUAAUCGCGGAUCAGCAUGCCGCGGUGAAUACGUUCCCGGGCCUUGUACACACCGCCCGUCACACCAUGAGAGUUUGUAACACCCAAAGCCGGUGGGGUAACCUUUUGGAGCCAGCCGUCUAAGGUGGGACAGAUGAUUGGGGUGAAGUCGUAACAAGGUAUC